GAGUUUGAUCCUGGCUCAGGAUGAACGCUGGCGGCGUGCUUAACACAUGCAAGUCGAACGGAACUGUCAUUUUUGAAGCAAUUAGCUUGCUAAGGGUGGAAAUGUUGGCAGUUUAGUGGCGGACGGGUGAGUAACGCGUGGGUAACCUGCCUUACACAGGGGGAUAACACCUGGAAACAGGUGCUAAUACCGCAUAACAGGAAGAGGCGCAUGCCACUUUCUUGAAAACUCCGGUGGUGUAAGAUGGACCCGCGUCUGGUUAGCUGGUUGGCGGGGCAACGGCCCACCAAGGCGACGAUCAGUAGCCGGCCUGAGAGGGUGGACGGCCACAUUGGGACUGAGACACGGCCCAAACUCCUACGGGAGGCAGCAGUGGGGAAUAUUGGACAAUGGGGGGAACCCUGAUCCAGCGACGCCGCGUAGUAAAGAAGUAUUUCGGUAUGUAAAGCUCUAUCAGCA
rnacentral:rRNA from 1 species